rnacentral:rRNA from 1 species
CCUACGGCUGCGUUACACAUGCUUGUCGAACGCCCCGCAAGGGGAGUGGCAGACGGGUGAGUAACGCGUGGGAAUCUACCCUUUUCUACGGGAUAGCUCCGGGAAACUGGAAUUAAUACCGUAUAAGCCCUUCGGGGGAAAGAUUUAUCGGGAAAGGAUGAGCCCGCGUUGGAUUAGCUAGUUGGUGAGGUAACGGCCCACCAAGGCGACGAUCCAUAGCUGGUCUAAGAGGAUGAUCAGCCACAUUGGGACUGAGACACGGCCCAAACUCCUACGGGAGGCAGCAGUGGGGAAUAUUGGACAAUGGGCGCAAGCCUGAUCCAGCCAUGCCGCGUGAGUGAUGAAGGCCCUAGGGUUGUAAAGCUCUUUCAGUGGGGACGAUAAUGACGGUACCCACAGAAGAAGCCCCGGCUAACUUCGUGCCAGCAGCCGCGGUAAUACGAAGGGGGCUAGCGUUGUUCGGAAUUACUGGGCGUAAAGCGCACGUAGGCGGAUAUUUAAGUCGGGGGUGAAAUCCCGGGGCUCAACCCCGGAACUGCCUUCGAUACUGGGUAUCUUGAGUGUGGUAGAGGUGAGUGGAAUUGCGAGUGUAGAGGUGAA